rnacentral:siRNA from 1 species
GCUGUUUUUCGUGGCCUAUACAAU